AGCGAGGGAUGUUCUCGGGAAAAUCAGCGUGUAAAACAUGAGGAGAAAACUAAAUUGGGAUUUUAAACCCAAGACCAGCCAAAGAAAGAGACAACCGCACAAACUUAACCAGCAACCUGUGUACACGUGUUGCGGCACUUAAGUGUGUGUUCUUAGUCAUUGUGCCACUCCACGUCCUCAAGGAAGUAUUCUUUGAGGAACGCGGUUCAGUUGACUCAAGUAGCAGAAGCAAACGUACAGAUUUCAGGAAGCGUCAAUGGGUGCGUUCGUCGGCUCGUCCGUCCACCUCUCCGAAUGCCCUUCCUCAGCGUCCGAGGUGAAAACGCAAGGAGUGCGCGCAUCUGCUGAGGAGCACGCGAGCGUCUGUGGUGAUUUCACGUUCCGGUACAGCUAUCUGAGAAUUUCGGUGUUUCGGUGCCAUGAGGUGCGAAGCAAGCUUGUCGCAUUGCCUCAAGUGGCGACACCUACAUGGAAGACUGAAAGACUUCACGUAUGAAUCGACACGUGCCUUGGGAAAACGCCAAUUUGGUGGCUUAAGGAAGAGAGAGACGCAGACUUUCGCGAAAAUAUGGAGAUGUUAGCGUGGCUGGUCACGUGUCAUGAUAUACAUAGGCUACAGCCGCUGUAAUGAUACCCCUUUAAUGGAUAAUCUAAA